UACGAAGGGGGCUAGCGUUGCUCGGAAUCACUGGGCGUAAAGGGUGCGUAGGCGGGUCUUUAAGUCAGAGGUGAAAUCCUGGAGCUCAACUCCAGAACUGCCUUUGAUACUGAGGAUCUUGAGUUCGGGAGAGGUGAGUGGAACUGCGAGUGUAGAGGUGAAAUUCGUAGAUAUUCGCAAGAACACCAGUGGCGAAGGCGGCUCACUGGCCCGAUACUGACGCUGGGGCACGAAAGCGUGGGGAGCAAACAGGG
rnacentral:rRNA from 1 species